rnacentral:rRNA from 1 species
AUGUGCGUUGUAAAUGAUCGUUUUGGUACACACGUGGUUGAGCCGGCCAGCGGAGAUGUGCUCGUGACCUGCCCGAGGCUCGACAUGUCGUCGUCGGAAAUGGAGCCGCUCAGCGCCUGGAGGUACAUUUGCAGGUUCGCCAACGUCGCCUUCGGCUUGGGACGCGCUGUCCCAUCGGGUGAGUACAAGUUAGUCCGUCUCAUGGACAGCGUGAGCUGCGAGGUCCGCGCCGUAAGAGGCGACACCGGGUGGAAACCGGCGCCGUCGCCCCCAGCCCGUGUAACGUGCAGCUCGAGCUGUGUGGCCGUCGUGAAUGGCGUUCUGCACGCCUUAGGGUCACGCGAGAGAGACCGGAAUAUAUAUUGCUUCGACCUCGAGAGCGAGAAGUGGAAGACCAAAAUUGAAGGCCCACCGAUUGAAGCUGUCUACAAGUUGUGGAACAAAAUUUGUAUGACCGAGCUUAAGGAUACUCUUUGUAUGGUUCAGUCGAAGGCUCAACUCAUCGACAUAUGGCUUCUGACUGAUCCAAAUAAGGGCUUUUGGGACAAGAUGUAUGCAAUUCCUAUAGAUCCACAAAUCCAAUUCUAUAACCUUUUGGGGAUGGCACAUGAUGGUGAAAGGCUGCUCUUUAAAUGCUCUUUUUAUCACAAACCAGCACAAGCUGUGCGAAUCUACAAUCCUUGCACCAACGUAUGGAAGGAUGUCACGGAGACAUCAGGCACCUUUCCUUGCGGAAUCAGUCUUUGCAAUUUCUGCUUAGGUAGUUUUAUCUCGGCCCAGACCUAG